rnacentral:rRNA from 1 species
GAUGAACGCUGGCGGCGUGCCUAAUACAUGCAAGUCGAGCGAAUGGAUUAAGAGCUUGCUCUUAUGAAGUUAGCGGCGGACGGGUGAGUAACACGUGGGUAACCUGCCCAUAAGACUGGGAUAACUCCGGGAAACCGGGGCUAAUACCGGAUAACAUUGUGAACCGCAUGGUUCGAAAUUGAAAGGCGGCUUCGGCUGGCACUUAUGGAUGGACCCGCGUCGCAUUGGCUAGUUGGUGAGGUAACGGCUCAACAAGGCAACGAGGCGUAGCCGACCUGAGAGGGUGAUCGGCCACACUGGGACUGAGACACGGCCCAGACUCCUACGGGAGGCAGCAGUAGGGAAUCUUCCGCAACGGACGAAAGUCUGACGGAGCAACGCCGCGUGAGUGAUGAAGGCUUUCGGGUCGUAAAACUCUGUUGUUAGGGAAGAACAAGUGCUAGUUGAAUAAGCUGGCACCUUGACGGUACCUAACCAGAAAGCCACGGCUAACUACGUGCCAGCAGCCGCCGUAA